AUGGUUGAUUUUGUCAAUAGUUAUAUACAUGUUUUAAAGAUUAAGUGAUACAUGUGUAGUAAAUGUGAACUAUUUCAAACUGUGAAUUUGGAAAUGACUCAUUUAAUUAGUUAUAGUUUGUUUUAUGAUAUCUACUAUUUAGAUAACCAUAUUAAUUCUAGAGUUAAUAUAUACUUGCAUUAAACCUUGACUUCUAGAAGGGAUGCAUUCAUUAGAUAAAAGGUCAAUGUGGAUUUUGUCCAUUGUUAUGAUGGUUCAUGAUAAUUUUAUAGACUGCAUGGCCUUUGGUGUGAUGAUGCAUCAUUCAAAUUAUAGAGUUAUAUGCACUAAACCUUGACUUCUGGAAGGAUGCAUUUAUUAGAUAAAAGGUUGAUCUGGGAUUUGUCUGUUCUAUGGAUGAUUCAUUAUAACUUGAUGGGCUGCACGGCCUUUGUAUCGAUGAUGCAUCAUUCAAAUUUUCUGCCCUAUCAACUUUUGGUAGUUGAUAGUGGCCUAUUAAGGUGGUAAUUGGGUCAUAGAGAAUUAGGCUUCGAUUCCAAAGAAGAAAACUUGAAAAGUGACUCUCACAUUCUAAAAGGUAGCACUACACAAAUUACCCAUUAUGUAUCUUAACAUAGGGAGGUAAUGAAAAUAAAUAACAAGACUAUAAAUAUCAUAAAAAUAUAAUAAUUGAAAUAAAAACAAUCUAAAUCCAUUGGAAUACACCAUGCUAAUAUAGUGUAUUCU
rnacentral:ncRNA from 1 species